rnacentral:rRNA from 1 species
UACGGGGGGGGCAAGCGUUGUUCGGAAUUACUGGGCGUAAAGGGUUUGUAGGUGGCUUGCUAAGUCAGACGUGAAAUCCCUCAGCUUAACUGGGGAACUGCGUCUGAGACUGGCAAGCUUGAGUGCAGGAGAGGAACGCGGAAUUCCAGGUGUAGCGGUGAAAUGCGUAGAUAUCUGGAGGAACACCGGUGGCGAAAGCGGCUACCUGGCCCAUUCUUGACGCUGAGGCGCGAAAGCUAGGGGAGCAAACGGG